rnacentral:rRNA from 1 species
GAUGAACGCCCUUUAGAGGGCCUAACACAUGNAAGNCGAACGGAAUUCUCAUGAAGCCUAGCGAUUGUAAAUUUAGUGGCGGACGGGUGAGUAACGCGUGGGUAACCUGCCUUGUACUGGGGGACAACAGUUGGAAACGACUGCUAAUACCGCAUAAGCGCACAGCUUCGCAUGAAGCAGUGUGAAAAACUCCGGUGGUACAAGAUGGACCCGCGUCUGAUUAGCUGGUUGGUGAGGUAACGGCCCACCAAGGCGACGAUCAGUAGCCGGCCUGAGAGGGUGAACGGCCACAUUGGGACUGAGACACGGCCCAAACUCCUACGGGAGGCAGCAGUGGGGAAUAUUGCACAAUGGGGGAAACCCUGAUGCAGCAACGCCGCGUGAGUGAAGAAGUAUUUCGGUAUGUAAAGCUCUAUCAGCAGGAAAGAAAAUGACGGUACCUGACUAAGAAGCCCCGGCUAACUACGUGCCAGCAGCCGCGGUAAUACGUAGGGGGCAAGCGUUAUCCGGAUUUACUGGGUGUAAAGGGAGCGUAGACGGUUUUGCAAGUCUGAAGUGAAAGCCCGGGGCUUAACCCCGGGACUGCUUUGGAAACUGUAGGACUAGAGUGCAGGAGAGGUAAGUGGAAUUCCUAGUGUAGCGGUGAAAUGCGUAGAUAUUAGGAGGAACACCAGUGGCGAANGCGGCUUACUGGACUG